GAUGAACGCUGGCGGCGUGCCUAAUACAUGCAAGUCGUGCGAACAGACGAGUAGCUUGCUCCUCUGACGUUAACGGCGUACGUGUGAGUAACACAUGGAUCACCCACCUUUAAGAUUGGGAUAACUUCGUGAAACCGGAGCUAAUACCGUAUAAUAUAUUGAACCUCAUGGUUCAAUAGUUCAAGCCGGUUUUGCUGUCCUUUAUAGAUGGAUCCUCGCUGCAUUAGCUAGUUGGUACGGUAACGGCUUACCAAGGCAACGAUGCGUAGCCGACCUGGGAGAGGGAACGGGCACAGUGGAAGUGAAACGCGGUAAAGGCUCAUAAGGAAGGCAGAAGUAGGGAAUGGUCGGAAAUGGGGGAAAGACUGAAGAAGGAGCGCAGCGUGGGUGAAGAAGGGCUUCGGGUCGGAAGACGCUGUUAUGAGGGAAGAACAAAUGUGGAAGGAACGAUGCACGUCGUGACGGUACCUAAUCAGAAAGCAACGGCUAACUACGUG
rnacentral:rRNA from 1 species